UCGACUCCAGGUAUGAGCACUCCUGAGCUUGAUGGCUGGAUGUGUGCACACAUGUAAUGGGGUAUCAUGGUCACGUUGCUUGGUGUGCAGAGGCGACCCGGCACCGGCACUUGCCCGGCGGUGGGACUUCGCUGUGGCCGGUGGGAGAGUUGGGCGGCAGCAAGCGGUGCGGCGAGGGGAGGCGCACGGUCCAGAGGUGGGACUCUUGCUAGCCGCUCUCCCGUUCCAUUUGGUUUCUUGCGGCCACGGUGGCGUUUCUCGGAUCGAGCGCCGCUCGUCCUUCUCUUCACUACUUCUCCACAACGCUAGCCCCUCCACCUCUCCUUCCUCCCCCUCGUUGUGUGGUGUCCAUGGGAUGUGCCUAGAUCCAGAUCAGGCGUAGGUUAGGUGAGGCUGAUGGUUGGGUGAAGGAGUAGGGAAAGCUGGCGACGAGGACAGGAAGAAGCCGGCCGUCGUGGUGCAGUGGGGCUGCCGGGAAGGAAGAGGUCGGCUGCGUCCCCGGCGGUGUCGGUGGAGCUGCUCCUCAACGAGAUUCGGCCAUGGAGAGGACCGUGGUGCCAGCGCAGCCUCGCCCCCUCUAGCGCAGCGCAAGAGAUCAGCACACCAUCGAACUGAGGAAUUCCACAUAUUGAACCUUCAAGAUGACUUGAAAUGGACCUGGACAAUGUGAAUUGGGGCCAGUAUCUAAACACUCUGUUUUGCAAUCUCAACUAUUGGGAUUGAAUCAGUAUGCUGGCUGGAGAGGAUUGACGGGGCUGCUCUCAUUUUCGGUUUGCUACUGCUCCUUGCAUUCUACCGCUUCUCAUUGUUGUCAUAAGAAGAUGAGAUGUUCUUCGGUACGAUGCUCCUGGCGUGUUUGAUGAAAUGUCUAUAAGAUGAUAUGUUAGUCAUUCUCUCUUUCCUUCUUGGUUGGUUCUUGGGUCCUCCAUGUCGUUAGCCAUCAAGGCAGACAAGACGGUGAAGAUCUGCUGCAUAUGAGUUGGCUACGUCCGCGGCCCAACAACGGUUGUCAUUGCCAUCAAGUGCCCAACAAUUGAGGUGGUGGUUGUCGACAUCUCCAAGCCCCGCAUUCACGCCUGGAACAAUGACACCCUCCCGAUCUACGAGCCCGGCCUCGAUGAUGUUGUCAAGGCGUGCAGGGGCAAGAACCUCUUCUUCAGCACCGACGUCGAGAAGCACAUCGCCGAGGCCGACAUCAUCUUUGUCUCGGUGAACACCCCCACCAAGACCCGCAGUCUGGGAGCCGGCAAGGCUGCCGACCUCACCUACUGGGAGAGCGCAGCCCGGAUGAUUGCCGACGUGUCCAACUCCGACAAGAUCGAUGUUGAUGAGUCCACUCUCCUUGUCAAGACCGCAGAGGCCAUUGAGAAGAUCCUGACCCACAACAACAAGGGCAUCAACUACCAGAUCCUGACCAACCCAGAGUUUCCUUGCCGAGGGCACGGCGACCGACGACCUGUUCAAGCCCGACAGAGUGCUCAUCGGUGGCCGGGAGACCCCCGAGGGCAGGAAGGCUGUCCAGGCCAUCAAGGAGGUGUACGCCUACUGGGUGUCCGAGGAGAACAUCGUCACCACCAACCUGUGGUCUGAUGAGCUCUCCAAGCUCGCUGCCAACGCCUUCCUGGCAUAGAGGAUCUGCUCCGUGAACGCCAUGUCGGUGCUCUGUGAGGCCACGUGCGUGCUCGUGCUCAUGGUGGUUUCCCAUAUAUCAGCAGCGCGGAGGAGCUGGUAUCCUCAGCCAGAGUUGGGUGUACUUGCGGGCGACCUCACCCUCACCAGUGCAUCUGCAGGGGGCUGCUCUUUGAUUCAGAGUAAAAUCAAGUUCUUUACCUAUGGAGGAGGUAGAUACUGAUGGAGUGGAUGACAAGGUGUUCUCCAGGUUCUGCAUCAUCUCCAUAUUCUGCAUCAUUAGUGAGCAACUUACCUAGGGAGGAGGUAGAUACUGACAGAGUGUAUGAGCAGUGAAUAAAAUAGAGGAGUGGCCUGUUCACCGGAGCAAGCGAGGAAGAUAGCUCAGCCCGACCACCAACGUCCACUCACCGGUUUCUUUGAUGCCUCGACCUCGAGCUGCAUCAGCUCGUUGAUAUGUGAUGGACAUCUCCCAGCAGUCCCUCGAUUGCCAGGCCACCGCGCCCGACCUCGACAAGGCGUUCAGAUGGUUGUCGAGGCAGGUGCUGCUGUACCAGCGGUGCUGCUAUGUUGCUCUGCCCUCAACCAUCCAAAUCAUUUCUACCAGACCCAAUCUUCCACUACCAUCUCAUACAUAUGCAGGUACUAUCCAGUAUCUAUGCAUGAGCUACCGAGCGUGAGUGUGGCCAUCACCCAGGAGCAGGAAGAAGAUGGUUUAAUAUAUUGGUGUCAGAGCGCUUGUUGCAAUAACCGUCAAAUCUUGAUUGUAUUAUAUUGAUCGGACCAAGCACUUUUUGGAUAAAUUAGCAUGAAGUGAUCAGGAGCAGAGAAAUAGAUAUGUCUUGAAGAAAUGGAUAUAUAUGGUUUUUAAGGUUACAUGAAGAUAUAUAUGUCUGGAUCAAGUUGAGUACUGAGGGAAUUGCUUGAACCUGGCAUCGAAGGUGAGCCGUCGCCAAUCCCAGCCCGUUGCCAAGCACCGUCUUAUUCUGCAGCAAAAACGGCCACCCAUUCCGAAUCCCACCAGAUGCGGCUAACACUGGGUUUUAGAAUCGCUCAAUCUUAUUUUAUCCAUGAAUUCACCGCCUCGUAUUUGACCUGCCUCUCCACCCUUUGGCAAAUACUUCAGAUUUUCACAAUUUUCCAGACUUUUCUGCCAUGAUUGCAUAUAACCUCUAUAGUUAUUUACUUAACUGAUUGUUAGGCCUGCUAUGCAUCACACGAUAUAUAUAAUGCAACAGCUGGUACACUGUUUAGCCCCAUAUCUACAGUACUUACAGACAUUAGCCGGCAAAAGGAAUUAAAUAGCCACAAACGGUUGAUGCACAUAUAUUACGUACUGGUUUAUUUAUAAAAGAACCAAACUAGACAAGUUAAAUCCAUCUUAGUACUCUUUUUAAAGUGCAUAAUUAAACUGUAUGCCCACAAUUGCUAUUGCCAGCUAACAAGUUUCUGAUUUCUCGCACUAACAAUUCUCACGAUGCUUAUACAGGGUGAAGAAUAUGAGCAUCCGGAGUAUAUCAUUCGCAGUGAGCCAAUGCCAAGCUACAAUGCUUAUUAUCUUGUUCUGAUAUUCCCCAUUUAAAAUAAAAUGACCUAAUAGUUUUUAUGAUCUGCUAUACCUCUCUGACACCAAUUUUCUGCCAUAGAACCGAAAGAACAUAUAUUAGGCCGAUCAAUAAUGCUCAAGUUAACUAACUUGCUUACUAUAUUCUUCCUACCAUAGGUUUAAAGCUUAAUUCUACUUUUCUCUUGAUGAAAGCUUAGUCUCCUAACAAUAAAUAGUAUUCAGCCUCCUUACAUGUCAUUUCGAUCUUUCCAAAUCUUACCAAAACGAAACUAAAUUCAGGACCACCCCCUGCUAUCCAAUAUUGCAGAGAGCUUGAAAGGUACUGUCACUGGGGCAAUGAAGUGAAGAUCUAUCAGCACCAUGUGAACAAGUUGUUUGCCAUGUUCCGCCGCAGAAAAACAGAUAUCAAAUACUAUGUCUGCACCAUCAACAAAACAUUUGCAAAGCUAGGCCAACCGAUGUAUUUUCAGGUCAACUACACUGAAAGAAAACUAAAUGAUUACAUUGACCCAGAUUAUGAUACGCUCAAGGUCAGGCUUGCAAACAGUGAUCUACAAGCCAAUUGCCGCAUCAUGCUAGGAACCGACAAGAGAGCCAUUGUAACAAUCAACUGGUCUGAGUUCCGUUGCCUUGCAAAAAUCCAUGGAGACAUCUCUGCCUUUCGUUUCAAGGUCACCACAAAGCAGCGCCGGGUUCUCAUCGUGCAUUUUUGUCGUGGUGACUACUCUCAGCCAGAUAUGUAUAGACUUUAGUCCUUCCUUGCUGUCUCUAUGGUGAAAAGUAGUCUACGAUCUUUAGAUUUUAUUGUUGUCUCUAUGGUCAAAAGCGGUUUACCAUCUCUUAUUGUAUAUAUGUGAAGGACUCCUCUUCUACUGUUGUUUCCAGAACACUAUGACUCAAGAAACAACCUUUCCUUUUAUGCAUGCUUUCACAUUAA